GCGCGCAGACUGUCGGAGAAAAAAAGUCGAAGAAGGGACAGUGUGUGUGUGUGUGAUCCAGUCAACACAGAAAGCUUCUUACGUUACACGAAUUACGUAUAUUUUCUCCCCUCUCGCUUCUAACAUUGUCCGUGGAUAUAUGUAUG
ensembl:ncRNA T21H3.6 ncRNA